CACCUGAGAUCUGAACCUGUGAACCCCAGGCCACUGAAGUGGAACACACGGAACUUUAACCAGUUGGCCAUGAAGCCAAGCUCCUAGUUCACACUAUCUUCGAAAGAAGUUUCGCCUUGGGCUAACAGCCGUUGUCAAUCCUCCUUUUUUUGGGUAGCUGAGUCAGGGGAACAAGGAAGUUCAAAGAUGGCGUCAAGGAAGUUCAAAGAUGGCGUGAACAGACUUGGCAUUCGGGGAUCGGUUGGUGUUGUCUACUGAUUUCUGAGAAGAGCUGUAAAUUCCUGCAACUUAUAUUAGGAGGAUUCACCCUGAGCUAAAUUGCCGAUGCUUCUCUCUUUGCCCGAGGAAGAUUCACCCUGAGCCAAGAUCUCUGCCAGUCCUCCUCCAUCUGGAUGUAGACUGAUGUCCCAGCACAGCCGCUGAUGAGUGUUGUAAGUCCACGCCCAGGAACCGAACCCGGGCCGCUGAAGCAGCGUGCGCUGAAGUCAACAACUAGGCCAACUGGGCUGGCCCGUGAAUAUAGUUGCUUUUUAAUGUCAUUGUUUAAUGAAAUUAUUUUGGUCAUAAUUAAAUUUUCCAAUUUAUUGUCUACCGUUUGACCUCGUA